rnacentral:rRNA from 1 species
AUACGGAGGAUCCGAGCGUUAUCCGGAUUUAUUGGGUUUAAAGGGAGCGUAGAUGGAUGUUUAAGUCAGUUGUGAAAGUUUGCGGCUCAACCGUAAAAUUGCAGUUGAUACUGGAUAUCUUGAGUGCAGUUGAGGCAGGCGGAAUUCGUGGUGUAGCGGUGAAAUGCUUAGAUAUCACGAAGAACUCCGAUUGCGAAGGCAGCCUGCUAAGCUGCAACUGACAUUGAGGCUCGAAAGUGUGGGUAUCAAACAGGAUUAGGUACCCUGGUAGUCCACACGGUAAACGAUGAAUACUCGCUGUUUGCGAUAGACGGCAAGCGGCCAAGCGAAAGCGUUAAGUAUUCCACCUGGGGAGUACGCCGGCAACGGUGAAACUCAAAUGAAUUGACGGGG